rnacentral:lncRNA from 1 species
GCUGUACAAACCUGAGGCAAGCACACUGCAGGAAUGACGUUUUUGUUACAGUUCACGUCUAUAAGUACAAGAACUACCAUUUAAAUAGGAACAAAUGGCAACUGAAUGAACUUUUUAAAUCUUCAAGAACCGAGCCUCCAGAGGACUGGAGGAGGAUGCAGCCUAGGAACCACUGGUACCCACCAUAUGUGAAGGGCUGUGCACCAGUGCUGCAUACUGCAGAUGCUGCACUGCUGAGCCGUGGUCCAGCAGAGGGUGAAAGGUGGACAAGUACCAAAAACCUGAAUGUGCACUCACUCUUAUUGAGACGUUUGGGUGGUGGCUUCCUUGGGCUCUCAGACAUGACCAGCUUGGUUUGGUGCCUGACAUGGAGCAAGCUGCCCACAGAUUCAUUUGUGCAAAUCAUAUGUCUCAAAGGUAACACCUCCUUUACCACUACUCAGGUUUUAACAAGCUCUUCCAGCUGGGAUGGAUGUACCAAAACACAAUAG